CUCAAAAUUUCCACUUCCGGUUCUCCAGAACUGGUCAGAACCUGCUAAAACCCACCUCUGCUCUUGACUCAAAACAAUAAAAAGUUCGCUGGCAUCUCAAACAUUGGUACGUAAUUUCAUCAAAUGCAUAGAGAGCCGUCUCAUGAAUGUAUGGUUUACAACAUUAAAAACUGUACAAUAAAACCAAAUUAAUAAAAUGCCAAUGAAGCUCAUCAUUAAAAUAUUUAAUAGGUAAAUGUUUGGUGAAGAGAUGUGUUUUUAUCAACUCCCCAGAUACUGGGGCAGUGGGAGCCCAAUAAACCUCUUUAGGAAGUACAAAAAGUCUUCGAUUUAUGAACACAAUUGGGAUCAGAAGUUCAAUUGCUAAGUGAGGAAGUUUUAAAUGAGUCACAUCCAGCUUUAUGACUUUUUUUUUUUGCCAUGCUUGUUAAAUAAAUGACUGCAGUCAUUAAGUGAAUCACACAGUUGUUAUGUGAAUCUGGCUCCCCCCAUUGACUUUGCUUGUUGGAAACUGGCUGGGAAAAAUCACAAAUGGCAAACACGUGACCCUGUGACAUUAUAAGCAUUGGUAAACACAUGCCAGUUGCCAAAUGCCUAAAUUUUGGAUACUUGACCAUAGAGAAUCUUCAACAGUCGUAAGUGUGAAGACCACCCUUAAAUCAUUGUUUACAGUUCCAUUGAAUAGUUGUUGAAUAAAUGGCUGCAUAUCAGGAACUACCUAUAUGUACUUUCUAUAGUCCAAGAAUCCCAGAGAAGAAGUAGUUUACCAACCGUUGAGCUUCCAUUAGUGGGCCAUCUUUAGAAGAUACUCUCCACUGAUAAAAGUAACUGGACAAGUUCACUAAGGGCAAAUCAGUCUUACAAAUAACAGUGAUGUACAUACACAUCCACAACAUUGUUGAGAGGGAAAUGAUGGAAAGGUUAAAGCACAAGAGGAAGGCAGUGAUGAGGAUUACAUAUAUUGCUUCUAAACCAGUGGUGAAAUCCAAAUUUUUUUACUACCGGUUCUGUGGGCAUGGUUUGGUGGGCAUGGUGUGGCUUGGUGGGUGUGGCAGGGGAAGGAUACCGCAAAAUCUCCAUUCCCACCACACUUCAGGGGAAGGAUACUGCAAAAUCCCCAUUCCCGCUCCACUGCUGGGGGAAGAUAUUGCAAAAUCUCCAUUCCCACCCCACUCUGGGGCCAGCCAGAGAUGAUAUUUCCCGGUUCUCCAAACUACUCAAAAUUUCCACUACCGAUUCUCUGAACUGCUCAAAAUUUCCACUACUGGUUCUCCAGAAUCUGUCAGAACCUGCUGGAUUUCACCCCUGUUCUAAACAAACUAACAGCUGGGUAUGACACAUAUUUGUACUGAAUAAUUAAUUAAGAUAUUAUGGUAAGAAACCUGAUCUUUCCUUUAUCCCUGUUAAAUGAUGUUAAAUCUUCUAAAUGCCUGAAUAUUUACUUAGAGAUGUAAAAAUCCAUCUCCUAAGGCUAGUCAAAGAAAAAAAAAACCUGGAGAAGUAAAUUUUUGUUCUUUUGCUACACUGCCAUUUUUGAUAAAUUUGUGACCAUUGCUUAUUUUGUAUAGAGAGCAGGUAAUUUCUCCAUUAUAAAGGUUGUGGGGAAAUGAUGACAUACACAACAUUAAGGAUGAGAGUGUAUUGCUGCAGUUACAAGUGCCAGCAUUAGGACAUAUUAUAAUGUUGUUAAAUAGCCAUGGGAAAAUGUUGGCAUCUGAGUCUCCUGCAGGGUUAGAUUCCCAUGUCUGAAAUGGAAAUGUAAUUGUUAAAGGUAGACUGUAGUAGGUCAUUGAUGGUUGAUGAUGGCUUCUCUUCUGUUUUUUUCAUGCAGGAGAUCAAGUCUUAAAAUCAUUGUGAUCCUGCUGAUCUGGUAUUUACCUUCUGAUAUUUACCAGGUUCUGAACUUUAAGCAAUGACUAGUCUAAAUCCAGUGGUUAUAUGCUUUUGCUGAAUGGAUCUGAACAGAGGGGAAUUCAUUGGAGAAAGCAAUUAUGCUUGGAAGAGUUGGUGGUAAAAGGAAAUCAGACUGCCAAAGAACACAGUGGCUGGACACCAUCAAAGCUGACACCAGCCAGAUCAUAGAGCAACUCAAAGAAGUAGUACAAGAUUGGAAGACCAUGGAGAGAGCUGGACCAUAGAAUCUCCAAGAGAUGGACACAAAUGAAUGGAUAACUUCCUCCUCUUCCUGUUCCUUUUCCUCUUCCUCCUCCUCCUCUUCCUCCUCCUCCUCCUCAUCACUAUCAUGUCAAUGUUCAUGAUGGACAAUUGCCAAAGGAGAAUUAUAUAGGGAAGAUUUUUAAAAUCAAUUUUGAAAUUAGCUCCAGGCAAAGUGCAUUUUGGGGUUUUUAUUUUUAGGUGUUCUCUUUAAAAGCCUUAAACCUUUUUAGACAUAUGUAAAGGUCCUAAAUGUUUUCAAAGUGAAAUGUAAUUAUGGAAGCGGUUUUGUCAAAUGUACUUUUAAAAGCUUUUCUUUGAAGGUUUGUAGAAAUAUUUCAAUUUCUUUUUAAAGGUAAGCUGAAUGUGAGACCAGCACAAAUACAGAGGGCAGGAAACAUGUUUCCAAUAUAGGGCCAGUUGGCAAAGUGAUGUCUGCACAUAUUUCAAAAUUUAUAUUAACAAAUAUAAUCCUUUAAGGGGCACACAGGCAAUAAUUAAUAUAUAUACCCAUAAAGGAGUUUCAGUAUAAAGUUAAUACACAGGAAAUAAUAGCGUAUAUAUUAUUAUAAUAAAUUUAAUAUAAAGUUUUCAAAAAAACCACAUGGAAAUAAAAAUAGUGCAGGUAAGAGCAAGAGCAUUCAUGAUGGAUGUCAAAACAAAAACAAAGAAAGGGGUUGGGCAGCCGCCCCUGGUUUUUAACCAUCUUUGGGGUCCCACAAAGUCAGAGAGCCAAGUCAGUAUAUUUUUAAGUCAGCUGCAUUGUCUCUGAAUCUGUGGUGAAACUAAUGGAGUGGGUUAUUUCUUUUUGGAAAACGUUCAGUGCUGCAGAGUUUGUGGGCCAUCUGUCUACUUUUACUAUGUAUUUCGUUCCUGGGUUCAGACCUUUCAAGGGAAAAAGUGGCUUGAUGUAUGUUUCUACUCUUGUCUCACAGGGACUGUUGAAAGCUGUUUGUUUGUUUGUUUUACACACAAGUGACUGAACUACCAAUCCAUGUACUAUAGAGCAUAAGGAGGUGGGAGGAAGAUAACUUAUGCUAUUUUCCUUCCUCUUGGAGAAUGGGUGAGAAUAACAUUGUUAGUGCAAAACAAAUGGUCAUUCAAUGGCAGGACAAUGAUUUUUCCAUCUUAUUCUUAGCAUUUGCAAAUUUUGCAAGUCCAAAAAUACUUUUGAGGGACUAAUGGAGGAAGUAAGGAGAAGCAGAGAGGGCGGAAGUGUCUAUUUGAGUCAUGUCCUUAUCAAAAAGGUUAAUGCCUGAUUAUUUCAUAGAGGGAUCAUUACUUCUUAUUAAGUUCCCUUUUUUUAAAAAAUAAUAAUUUUUAAAUUGAUAUUAAUCAACCAAAUCGUUAUUAUGGCCACAGAUCAGCAUAGGAAGGAUAAUUUUAAAUGCUAACAUAUCACACAUAAUAUUUGUUUGUUCGAUUGGCAAAAAUUGCUUUGAUAAAUAGGGGAAAUGAGAGAAAAGGUGGAGUGGUAUGUGAGAAUGACCUUGGGAGACAAUUGUUGCAGACCAGACAACCAGGCAUGUAAUAGCAAUAGUAUUUUUACUUAUAUACCACUCCAUAAUGCUUUAGAAUAGAAUAGAAUAGAAUAGAAUAGAAUAGAAUAGAAUAGAAUAGAAUAGAAUUUUUAUUGGUCAAGUGUGAUUGGACACACAAGGAAUUUGUCUUGGUGCAUAUGCUCUCAGUGUACAUAAAAGAAAAGAUACGUUCAUCAAGGUGCAACAUUUACAACACAAUUGAUGGUCAAUAUAUCAAUAUAAAUCAUAAGGAUUGUCAGCAACAAAGUUACAGUCAUACAGUCAUAAGUGGAAAGAGAUUGGUGAUGGGAACUAUGAGAAGAUUAAUAGUAGUACAGAUUUAGUAAAUAGUUUGUCAGUGUUGAGGGAAUUAUUUGUUUAGCAGAGUGAUGGCCUUCGGGAAAAAACUAUUCUUGUGUCUAGUUGUUCUGUUGUGCAGUGCUCUAUAACGUCAUUUUGAGGGUAGGAGUUGAAAAAGUUUAUGUCCUGGAUGUGAGGGAUCUGUAAAUAUUUUCAUGGCCCUCUUUUUGAUUCGUGCAGUAUACAGGUCCUCAAUGGAAGGCAGGUUGGUAGCAAUUAUUUUUUCUGCAGUUUCUGAGUAGUUUACAGAGUCAGCAAAUUAUUGCCCCCAAUAAUCUGUGUCUUCAUUUUACUGACCUCAGAAGGAUGAAAGUCUGAUUCAACCUUGAGCGGGUCAGGAUCAAACUCCUGGCAGUGGGCAGAGUCAGCCUGUGAUACUGCAUUCCAACCACUGCACCACCAGGGUAUACUUUAACAGCCCUUUCACCCCAUAGGAGGGAAUGCACAAGAAAUGUUUCAGAGUAAACCCUCCCUAAUUUUCUGGAUAGUAAAAGGAAAGGAGGAGGAUAAAUAUUUUGAGUCUUGCAAGACUGAUGUUAGUCCAGGUAAGUAGCACAUCCAGAAGUACCAGCUCCAUCUUUAUUGUACUGUUACAUGAACAAAUCUCCUAAAACCCAAAUUAUUUCUUUUUCCUUUCCUUUUACUUCACCACUACAAAAGGGGAAGAAAAAAUAUAUAGAGAAAAGAAAAAAGAAACAGAAGAAAAAUAAAACAUAUUUUUUACAAUAGUAUCAACCUAGUUGAUAGGUUGAUACUAUUGUAAAAUAGUAUUAUAUUACUAUUGUAACCAAGCAUCUGGCCCUCUCAAUUCCUGGCAGAUAGAUGGAGAAGAAAUGGAGGUAGUGACAGAUUUUAUUUUCCUGGGCUCCAAGAUCAUCGCAGAUGGGGACUGCAGUCAACAAAUUAAAAGACGCUUGCUCCUGGGGAGGAAAGCUAUGGCAAAUCUAGACAGCAUACUAAAAAGCAGAGACAUCACCCUGUCAACAAAACUGCAUAUAGUCAAAGCUAUGGUUUUCCCAGUUGCAAUGUAUGGCUGUGAAGGCUGGACCAUAAGAAAGGCUGAGCGCCAAAGAAUUGAGGCCUUUGAACUCUGGUGCUGGAGAAGACUCCUACAAGUCCCUUGGACUGCAAGGUCUUGUGGCUCCAGCCUCCGAACCUGGCCCCAUGCCCAAAAGUGACUCUGAGAGUGAGGGGAAAGGGCCGGUAAGGCUUACCUCAGGAGCACCGAUUCCUUUGGCCCAGCUCCAGGAGCCAGAACCAGGCCAGUCGGAGGACGUAAUGAGGCCAACAUCCCUUGAUUCCUCCCUUCCUCAGGCUACGCCUACAGACGCAGAUGAUAAUCAUACCAAUCAAGCCUGGAUCGAGCCGCACUUCAGAAGAUUAGAGAGGCAGCAUCAUCAAAGGGAAGGGUGGGACAGAAGCCCCACCCCACAGGAUAUAUAAAGAGUUUUGGGACUGCUUUCAGUUUUACGGGAAGCAAAUUAGCUGAACCAUGUCGAAGUGAGCUGAAGUCUUAAUCUGUUUAAACUUUUUGGCAGGCAGCUGCGUUUUCCUGGCCAGGACUGAUAAGAGCCGUGUAUCCACUGGCUGAAGGCCAGCUCGUUACUCCAGAGUGAGGACGGAGACAGAACACAAGACGAACAAACAAGUCAGUCCUAGAGGAGAUCAACCCUGACUGCUCUUUAGAAGGCCAGAUCCUGAAGAUGAAACUCAAAUACUUUGGCCACCUAACAAGAAGGAAGGACUCACUGGAGAAGAGCCUAAUGCUGGGAAAGAUUGAGGGCAAAAGAAGAAGGGGACGACAGAGAACAAGGUGGCUGGAUGGAGUCACUGAAGCAGUAGGCAUGAGUUUAAAUGGACUCCAGAGGAUGGUAGAGGACAGGAAGGCCUGGAGGAAUGUUGUCCAUGGGAUCGCGAUGGGUCGGACAUGACUUCGCAACUAACAACAACAACAUCAAUCUAGUUUGUAAAUAGAGAAUUAAACCUUGACCACAUGAAAAAUAUAUUAAAUUUUCCAUUGUGCCAAUAGGGAGCUGGCUUGUAAAUAAACAGCAAACACAUAUCUGCAAUGCAGGUCUACAAUGCAGGUCUUAUCACAGGUCUGGGAUAAGAUUCUUUUUGUAAAAAAAAAAAAGGUUCCCCUCACACAUAUGUGCUAGUCAUUUCUGACUCUAGGGGGCAGUGCUCAUCUCCGUUUCAAAGAUGAAAAGCCAGCGCUGUCCAAAGGCAUCUCUGUGGUCAUGUGGUCAGCAUGACUAAAUGCCAAAGGCGCACGGAAUACUGUUACCCUCCCACCAAAGAUGGUCCCUAUUUUUCUACUUGGAUUUUUUACGUACUUUCGAACUGCUAGGUUGGCAGAAGCUGGGACAAGUAACAGGAGUUCACCCCAUUACACGGCACUAGGGAUUCAAACUGCUGAACUGCCGACCUUUUGAUCGACAAGCUCAGCAUCUUAGCUACUGAGCCACCGCGUCCCUAUGCUCAUACAUAGAUUUGAAGUUUGAAAAUGUCAUCCAAAAUACAUCCCACAUUUUUAAGGCAUAUUAUUCUUACCCAAUCUUAUUAAUGAAAUUCAUGAAUGUAAAUCAAAACAAUAAUGGGACAAGUUUUUAUUGUAAGUGUGUUUCCAAUAGAAGAUAAUAUCUUUAGCUCAGGAUUGAACUAUGGAGUCCUUGGUGCUCUAUGAGCUUGGUGGUUUUCUUGCACUGAAUUUGUUAUCUAGUUGGGUAAUGAAAUAAUCAACAUCAAGGACAGCACCAAGGACACCACUAUAAGUGUGUUUCUUCUAUUGUUUUAAACAGCCAAACCUUCAGAAAUACUUUCCAAGGUAUCUAAUAAACAUGAAAAAUAAUCUUUGCUGAAUGAAUCUCAAGUUCAUGGAAAUAUUUUUUUAACAUCCUUUGACUCUUAACCACAGAUUUCACAUGAUAGGAUACUCCUGUUUUGUCUUCUUGUCUCCUAGCUGGCAUGUCUCUUCAGAGCCUCUGCCCUGCUUUCCAUCCAUAUUUUCCACAUAUAGGGAUGGCUCUGUCCACUCAUUUCACAGUCACAAAUCUUGAAUUCUCUGGUAAUUAGCCAAGCCUAAGAAAGGCCUGAUCUUAGAAGGUCCCAGGAUAAUCUACAUAUACCAGCUGCCUAGGAGUUUCCAUUUUCAAGAUCAGGAUACCAGGAUCAACAGCUGUCUGUGUCAGCUAAGCUACAAAUCUCUUUGCAUCUCAUCAUUCUAUACAUAUUUAGGCAAUUUAUCCAAUAUUUCACUGUCUUAUCAAAAGAUCUUCAUUUUUAUUUGAAUUUCCAAUGUGAGUUGAAAGACUUCAGCUUGUAUUCAUUAUAAGAAAUGCAUUUAUUUUGGGCUGGAAAAAAAUGGUAUAAAAUGACUUAAGUAGUGAAAUUCCAGAUUUUUAGAUCUAUAAUCUCAUGAAGGCAGCAUAAUUCCAACACUUUGUUCCAAAGUUCUUAAAGCUAAUGACAAUCCAAUGUUAACAGUGGAUACAACACAUUUUUUAAAAUCCUGGUAGUAAUUACAAGGUUUCAGAUAAUGCUAAUCCACCUGGACCAAAUUUUUAAAUCAAAGCAUGCUUUAAUACUGUCAUUCUGCAAAUUCAACUCAUAUGAUUUAGGACUUGAUUAGCAAUAAGGGGUCUUAAGUGGUACCAAGUCUGUUAACAUCUAUGAUAUAUUUACAGAUCCUUCACAUCCAGGACAUAAACUGUUUCAACUCCUACCCUCAAAAUGAUGCUAUAGAGCACUGCACAACAGAACAACUAGACACAAAAACAGUUUUUUCCCGAGGCCAUCACUCUGCUAAACAAUUAAUUCCCUCAACACUGACAAACUAUUUACUAAAUCUGCACUACUAUUAAUCUUCUCAUAGUUUCCAUCACCCAUCUCCUUCCACUUAUGACUGUAACUUUGUUGCUGGCAAUCCUUACGAUUUAUAUUGAUAUAUUGACCAUCAAUUGUGUUGUAAAUGUUGUACCUUGAUGAACGUAUCUUUUCUUUUAUGUACACUGAGAGCAUAUGCACCAAGACAAAUUCCUUGUGUGUCCAAUCACACUUGGCCAAUAAAAAAUUCUAUUCUAUUCUAUGAAUACCCUUCCAAAGAAAGAGGAAUUAUCUGAAAAUUUCAAACUUGGAUUACUCUAAAAUAUAGAUUUAUUCCAUGAAAAAGUAUCAAAUUUCCUAAGAUUUGAUGUGCAAAUUGGGAAUGGCCAGAGGGGGAACCAACAAAAUAGUCAGGAUGAUGAUUACAAUUGUGUGAUUUGCAGCCCCAGUCUUUUGGUAUGUGUGUCAAAACUGCACACAAACACAGCGGAGUGGGCCUUUGAUUGCACAACCAUGACUACCAUCUUGAAUUUUUUUAAUGGCCCUGUUCUCUGAGGAAGAUGGGUGGCUAAGAAAUAUAAAAUAUAACUAAAUAAAUAAAAGAAAGAGUAGAGGGCUUCACAGUAUCAAUAAUACAAAAAUUCUCAUAAUCAAGGGAUGCUUGCAUCAUUAUGAGCCAAUCAGUUUCUUUCCUGAUAUGGUACCAUGAUAUUUAUACAUUGGUUGCAUUAUUUGUCAAAGGAUUUCAGUUGUAAAUAAUCAAGCUGAAUUGAAUAUUUGUAGGACUAAUUUGUAAAUGAUCAUUUUAUUCUCAUUUUUAUACUGUUAAAGUUCUGUUUUUGGUUUCUGAGUAUAUGAGAUUUGUAGCAGUUCUAAAAUGAGUUAUCUGAGAAUAAGCUACAGGAUGAUUUAUGUCUGAACAGCUUGUGUACAUACAUACAUACAUACAUAUGUAGGUCUUGGCAUAUUCAGGUCUUUUCCCGUGUAAGGUUGAGAGUAUCUUGGCGAUGUUUUGACGAGGUCUCACUCAUCAUCUUCAGGAUGGUGCUUUCGGCUUCGUGCCUCUGUGAGCAAAACGUGGUUGGAGCUGCCGUCUCUCUGGUGGGGAGGUGGGGAGUGUUGCUGUGAGCGGGUUGGUUGGCUGUGUGGUUGCAUCUUGAUUGGUAGAUGGAGUGGGUGUUUGCAGAUUGGUCGAGGUGGGGAGUGUUGCUGUGAGUGGGUUGGUUGGCUGUGUGGUUGCAUCUUGAUUGGUAGAUGGAGUGGGUGUUUGCAGAUUGGUCGGCUGCCUUGCAGCAUCCUGUGUGGGUGUGGUCCUAGUCUUUUGUUCCUGAGCUUUGGUGUUUUGGUCUUUGGAGUUCUGUGAUGUGAUGUCUUGAGCAGAUGGCUGUGAUGCAGCAUCCCAGGCCCUGGCCUGGCUCUGAGUCCAAGGUCCUGUCAUGUGUUCCUGGCGUGUGUCAGCUUGCUUUGCAUGGGGAUCGGAGGGGGGCGCAGCAGCCAGUGGUGCCAGCAUGGUCUGGCUUCUGGAUGGUGGUUAUGUUUCAUCUUUGGGAUGGGUUUGGGUUUGAAUCUGGUGAGGAUGAUCGGUGGUGGCAUUGUGUGUUAUCCUGGUUCUGGUGUCAAUUUUCGUGGCUGGGACUCGUUUGUUGACUGAGGCCAGUUUCCAGAUGUCUGGUAGGCGGGAGGUGUCAUCCCGUUUGUCCAUGUUGUGGGGGUGUUUCUCUAUUUUGAUGGCUUCCAUAAUUAUUCUCUUGUUAUAGUGUUCAGUUUUGGAGAUUAAUUUGGUUCCUUCAAAAUCAAUUUCAUGUCCUGUGGACAUACCUACGAAAUUUCAUGUCCUGUGAAAACCUACGAAAACAUACGUACAUACAUACAUACAUGUGUAUCUCUGUGUUAUUUAUAUUUUAUAUAUACAUGACACAUCUUAAAUUUAGGGUUUAAAGUAUUUUAAAUCUCAGCUGAGAAUACGGUAUUCAAAAUCAAAUUUAUGUGGAAAGCAAGAUGAGUUAUUUUCUAAAAUCAGUUAAAAUGACAGAGUCAUCUUAGUUUUACUAAAUAAAUACGGUAAUAAAGGCAGAUUAUCUUUCCUAUAUAACCUUCCUAGAGAAAGGUGGUGGUGGAAAUUAAAUUCAUGAUUCAUCUUCUUUGAAGAUAAUUAUGGUGUUACUUCUCCUACUUGAGGAAGGACUGUACCAUGGACAAGACCCCACCUUCAUUUCCUAGCAUAACUGAGUGAGGGUUGUAUCCAAAACCUUAGAGUGAUAUUACCAAUGAGUACAAAAAAUAUUAAAAUGUAGACCAAUAGACAAACAUCGUGCGAAGUUUUAUUAGUUUAUUUAUUAUUUGUAUCCCAUCUUUCUUAUUUUUGGCUUUAUGUGUUCAUAUCUGUUCAAAUUAUGACCUGUUCUUUCUACUUGAACUGUCUGAACUUCCAGAUUGUGGUGCUAUUGUUUCAUCCUAACAAUCCAAAUGUUUUAGCUAAAUGUAUCAAUAUCUUAAUGUGUAUAUAUCCCCAUUUUACAACACUUGAUUUGAUUCUAAAUUUAUAAUACAAUUUAAAUCAAAAUGGAACAAACCAAGUAAGAUUUCUCUUCUGACUAUUUCAGGAGUGUCCAACCUUGGCAACUUUAAGAUUUGUAAACUUCAGCUCUCAGAAUUCCCCAGACAGCAUAGCUGGCUGAGGAAUUCUGGGAGUUGAAGUCUACAAGUCUUAAAGUUGCCGAAGUUGGACUUCCUUGGCCUAACUGGUUUUAAGAGAAGCUCUUACUUCACUGGUGAAGGCAAAAAAUAAGACCAUAUAAUAUCUUCUUCUUCUCCUUCUCCUUCUCCUCCUCCUCCUCCUCCUCCUCCUCCUCCUCCUCCUCCUCCUCCUCCUCCUCCUCCUCCUCCUCCUCCUCCUCCUCCUCUUUUUAAAGAAAGGAAUCUUCUAUCUAUUCUGUACCCUCAGCUUUUGAAGUUGAUGGGCAACAUUUAGUCAAUGUAUGGAUUCUGGUUAAAUCGAAGCUAGGAUUUUUUAUUUAGAUACGUGCUGGUCUGACUUACGUAGGAAGUACAUGGUUGUUUAAUUUAUACGCUUUAUAUUUCAUUUAAUUGCAAGUUAAUUCACAAUUUACUUGUAUUAUUUUUACCUUAGAAACAAGCAUAUUGUACGGCAUCUUCUACAAUAAUAAAAAUCUAAAUGUCAA